rnacentral:rRNA from 1 species
UACGAAGGAUGCGAGCGUUAUCCGGAUUUAUUGGGUUUAAAGGGAGCGUAGGCGGUCUUAUAAGUCAGUGGUGAAAUCUCGUUGCUUAACAACGAACGUGCCAUUGAUACUGUAGGACUUGAGUACAGUUGCCGUUGGCGGAAUGUGUCAUGUAGCGGUGAAAUGCAUAGAUAUGACCCGGAACACCGAUUGCGAAGGCAGCCCACUAAGCAAUGAUUGACGCUGAGGCACGAAAGCGUGGGGAUCAAACAGG